UUUUGUCACGAGGUGUAUUUGCAAGUAAGUCUCUUAUUAUAUUACACCAAUUUUCGACUUAAAAUCAACGAGUAGAGCCAUGUUCAAAUGACUUAAUUAAUAAUAUUAUCGCUCAAGUCUAUAAAGGUCACUAAUGAGGCAAUCGAGAAAAUUAUAUCAGGAAGCUUUUCUCUAUAGAAAUAAUCUGUAUGUAUGGUGUUAGUGGUCUGAACGAGCUACGUUUUACUGAAGAGAGUUGAAAUUAACUAACUAUCGUGGUUUACUUGAUUGUCCAACCUGGAAAUUUUGAAUGUCUCUCUUGUUUGUCCGUAUAACUCAACACAUCUGGAAUCGAUUGAUGUUUCAUCGGUUCAGGAAGUCUACAUCAGGCUACGUGAUGUAUCUCUUGUUUUAAAUAAGAAUUGUAAUACCGAGGCUUUCCACUAGUCUAAAGACUUUCCACUGUUCAGAUAAAUAUUUUCAGGUUAGUUUCCUUAAUAAGAUCUUCAGAAAGUAUAUGUCGCAAUAGUGGAAAGCCUCCGUAUUAAAAAUCUUAUUCAAAAAGUCAUAAAAAAACCAUCAAUGUUGAAUCUUGAUGGGUAAUAGCGCAGGUAUUGAAUCUUCAAACGCUGUAAAUGAAGCUGAUAAAUUCCCCUAAAUCCCCCAAAUUGUGACGUUUCAUCUUUCGAAUCCUGAAGAUAUUUCUGGCCAAGAAAUUCAUUGAACAAAGAUGUCAACAAUUGUGAUCAUAAUUCCACCGAGGAAGGUCCUGCUCUCUUCGUUGUUCGCUUUGUUCCUGAGCUUGCUUGGGCUGAUGGCGCGGAAUGGUUCGUCAAGCCGACACUCCUGGGACCCUUCUGAAUGUCGAGCAAUCGAUUCGUGACCUAGUGCAUAUUACAGCUAACCUACCCCAAGGACAUAAUCGGGAUGGGGACUUAUCUGAAAAGGUUGUCCAUAGGAACCCACCUGAACGAAAAAGGAGGGUCCGAAGAAUUGAAAAACUGGAUUGGGGAGUUUGAUAAGCUUUUCUUUACCCUCACCUGUGUAGAUGACAAGACUGUGCACUUAGCCAUUUAUUACCUACAGAGGGAUGCCCACGUUUUGGUGGACUCAAGCUAAAGACAACCUUCUAAAACAACCUGACUUUGGGUGGAAAACUUUUAAGAAAGCUCUUAGUGAUAAGUAUUACCCACCUUACCUCAAAAAGCAAAAAGCCCAAGAGUUUAUGAUGCUAGAGCAAGAGAACCUGUGUGUUGAGGAUUAUUACCGAAAUUUAUUGAAUUGAUGAGAUUUGCUCCUAAAAUUGCCCCUAAUGAGGAAACUAAGACCUCACGCUUUAAAUUAGGGAUCACCCUUGACCUUCAAGGGACACUAGGGGCUUUUACCUCGUUGGAACAUGUUUUUGGCAAAACUUGCCACUUAUAUGUAAUAAGGAAACGAGAGGAAUGAGGUAAACAAGGUGAGAAGCGAGAGGAGAAUCCAAACUUUAAGGUUCACAAAUUUGAAAAGAAACAUCAUGGAAACCAGAACAACCAAACCUACCACAGGAACUUCGAUAAAGGACCCAACAACAACACUCACCACAAUAAGUUAAUAUUAUAUUUUCGUUGCAAUUUAGUUUUCUUAAAUAAGAGUAAGUUAAUAUUUUGGAUUUCAAUAAGCCUUGUGUUUCACUUCAAAGUCGAUGCAACAUAGUUUAGACAUGUAUGUAUUUUGGAAGUAUUACAUGAAGAUUGCAGUAAAUAAUACUCCAUCCGUUUCUUUUUAGUGGUUAUACUUUGAGUUUUGACAUUAUUCACCAAUUUAUAUUUGACUAUCAGUUGUCAUUAAUGGGUAAGGAAAAUAUAAUCAUGUGGACUCUUGUUUGAUUCGUCUCGAUAAAUACUUCAAGAAUAUCAAUUUUUUAUUGCAAAUGCAAAUUUAGAAAUAUUAAUGUUCAAACAUUUA